AACUACCGUGAUAUGCUGGCACAGAGCAUCUGUACAGCGGUCACCGACCGAGGAGCAUACAUCUUCGCCAUCCGUCGGGAUUGUAGUCGUAACGGGGACGGUCAGACGUGCAACGACAUAUGCACCUCCCAGGAAGAUGUUUUCAAGCAGGGAAGCACCUCAGAGUGCUUUGAUGCCGUACAUGUGUACGGAGGUCGGCCUGUCCUUUCAUCCGACCACAACACUGACGCUGGAAAAGUUGGCCCUGCAGCAUUUCGCUAUUUCAUCGGUGGCUGUGCCUUUGCGGCUAACAUCUGCGGGCCAAACUACUGUUGCUGCCGCGUUCGCUAGCUCUAGCAUCUUCCCAAGAUUAGAGAUUGUCAAGUGAAUAUAUAUCAAACAGCGCGUCUAACCAAUAUCUUUCAAAUCCAGAUGUAUUCAAUUCUUAGGUUAUGUUCUUUUGUUUCUGAUAAUAAUUCAAUAGAAACUUUAAGACAUGUUUCCUUUGCUGUAUCCAUUAAUUAAUUUUGAUCACUUGAACCUGGAAGAAUUUUUCUGAGUAUUACUCAAGUUAUUUUGUAAUUGCUUCUACGACUACGUGACUUUGUCAGUUCGACGUGCUGUACAAUAACCAAGAGAGAAAUUUGUAUGUCAAUAUUGUCUCUUCAAAGUUUGCAAUUGUGUAAAUUCGGUGUGCUGCACAAUAAACAAUCUUAAGCACUUGAAAGGUCA